rnacentral:rRNA from 1 species
CACGUAGGGCGCAAGCGUUGUCCGGAAUUAUUGGGCGUAAAGAGCUCGUAGGCGGUUCGGUAAGUCAGGUGUGAAAUCUCCACGCUCAACGUGGAGGCGCCACCUGAAACUGCCGUGACUCGAGUGCAGUAGGGGUAGAGGGAAUUCCCGGUGUAGCGGUGAAAUGCGUAGAGCUCGGGAAGAACAUCGGUGGCGAAAGCGCUCUGCUGGACUGCAACUGACACUCAGGGACGAAAGCUAGGGGAGCGAAUGGG